UUCUGCAUUAAAAGGAAACGAUAAAAAGGAGAAAAGAAAAAGAAAAAUGUAAGUGGAAGAAGAGAAAGUGGCAUCGCUUAGGUACAGAUACAGAUACAGACACAACCUGGAAAAAAUUCCGACCCCAGCCCUUCACUCUUCUCUCUGCAGCGGAGGUGUACUUUUGAUCUAGUACCUGCUAUCCCUAUGUAUAAGCAUGGCAAGUAUUUUUAAACGUUGUGACAUCCAUUCUUGUUAGGAGUUGUUAUAAAGCUAUUCAUCCCUGCUCAAUAUUCUACACCCCAAGACAGAGAAGGACAAUAGAGAUCAACUAACUAUCCCAACUUGCCAAUAUAAACUGUGAAGAGUUUCUAUAAAUGCAGGACUUCUAGCAUACUGUUGUUUGAUUAACCAAGUUCUUCCAUAUUGGUUGAGGAAGCCUCGAGUCAAUAUUUAGUUUUUGCUACCAUCUGUGGGUUUCUGAUGGAUGAUGCUGGGCAUCGUGAGAAUGGAAGACACAAAGCAGCAGAUCAAUAUAAAUCUGCUCAGGGUCAGUGGUUGAUGCAACAUCAGCCUUCCAUGAAGCAGAUUAUGGCAAUGAUUGCUGAAAGAGAUGCAGCCAUUCAAGAAAGAAAUCUGGCCAUUUCCGAGAAAAAAGCAGCAUAUGCUGAGCGUGACAUGGCAUACAUGCAGCGAGAUGCUGCAAUUGCAGAACGUAAUAAUGCAAUGUUGGAACGAGAUAAUGCAAUUGCAACUCUUCAGUAUCGUGAAACCUCCUUAAGUAGUGGCAGUAUGCCAUCAUGCCCUCCAGGAUGCCAAAUUUCACGUGGUGUCAAGCAUGUACAUCAUCCCCAACAACAGGUGCACCAUAUACCUAACAUGGGUGAUGCCUCUUACAACACAAGGGAAAUGCACACAACGGAGGUCCUCCCUGCAGCCCCCAUCCCUUCUGAGACUGGGAAGUCAAGGCGGGCCAAGCGACCAAAGGAACCAAAGUCAGCUCCACCUAAUAAAAAGACUUCAAAACCCUCAAAAAAAGUCAAGAAGGAGAGUGAAGACUUGAAUAAUAUGUUUGGCAAGGCACAUGAGUGGAAGAGUGGUCAGGAAAUGGUCAAUGGAGGUGAUGAUCUUAACAAGCAGUUAGCAGUGUCGAAGGCUGAUUGGAAAGGUCAGGACUUGGGGUUGAACCAAGUGGCGUAUGAUGAGUCAACCAUGCCAGCGCCAGUAUGCUCUUGUACCGGUGUCCUGAGGCAGUGUUACAAAUGGGGUAAUGGGGGUUGGCAGUCUGCCUGUUGCACAACUACUCUGUCAAUGUAUCCACUUCCUGCAGUGCCCAACAAGAGACAUGCUCGGGUAGGCGGCCGGAAGAUGAGUGGGAGUGCUUUCAACAAGCUGCUUAGUCGACUUGCAGCAGAAAGUCAUGAUCUGUCAAACCCUGUUGACCUCAAGGACCAUUGGGCAAAACAUGGAACGAACCGAUACAUCACAAUAAAGUAGAGGGCGAGACAUUGUUUCUGGGGCAGCAUUACACGAAUAGAAACUGCUUUUAGUGAUCAAUUAUGGAUUCUCAAGUCGAAUGAGAAAAAUAAUGUUAAGUGUAAAGGCCAUCCGGGAAAGCUAAUGAUUUAGAGUAUGCCCUUGCUUAUAUUUAGGAUGCAUAAGCCUGGUGGAGGCUGGCUAAAUUUAGGGGUUGAAGAAGUGACUAUAUAGUCAUCCUCGGCAUUUGUCGCACUUAAUUUUCUUAGAUAGCCUGAUGGCACCGAUGGCAUGUAUAAAAAGUCUGCAUGAUGGAUGGAUAAAUAGCUGUUAGAUAGUCUUGGUUAAUGCAUUUAGUACUUAAACCCUAAUAAUUGUAGACUCGUGUCCUCAGUCAUCCUGGAACCCUAUCUGCGUUAAUAUGUAAAAUCAACUAUGAGGUGGCGAAUAUGAACCCUAUCCCUUGGUUCAGCAAAUCCAUGCUACUACCCGUCUCUGCGUUAAAAUUUGGAGACAUGCUUACGUUGAAGCAAAUCGAAGUGUUGAUAUUUUGGCUAAGUUCGGGCAUUAUCUACAAGGGCAUAGUUUUUUCUUCUUAUCCAUAGUUUCCUUUCUCUAGCUUUGAUGGCUGCUUCUUCUGAUGUUUUAUUUCCUAGUGGGUUUUGGUUCUGAUCUGUAGGCCUCCUUAACCAAAAAAAUAAAAGAUGCUUGAUCUUA